rnacentral:rRNA from 1 species
AAUACGGAGGGUGCGAGCGUUAAUCGGAAUUACUGGGCGUAAAGCGCAUGCAGGUGGUUUGUUAAGUCAGAUGUGAAAGCCCGGGGCUCAACCUCGGAAUUGCAUUUGAAACUGGCAGACUAGAGUACUGUAGAGGGGGGUAGAAUUUCAGGUGUAGCGGUGAAAUGCGUAGAGAUCUGAAGGAAUACCGGUGGCGAAGGCGGCCCCCUGGACAGAUACUGACACUCAGAUGCGAAAGCGUGGGGAGCAAACAGGAUUAGAUACCCUGGUAGUCCACGCCGUAAACGAUGUCUACUUGGAGGUUGUGGCCUUGAGCCGUGGCUUUCGGAGCUAACGCGUUAAGUAGACCGCCUGGGGAGUACGGUCGCAAGAUUAAAACUCAAAUGAAUUGACGGGGGCCCGCACAAGCGGUGGAGCAUGUGGUUUAAUUCGAUGCAACGCGAAGAACCUUACCUACUCUUGACAUCCAGAGAACUUUCCAGAGAUGGAUUGGUGCCUUCGGGAACUCUUAGACAGGUGCUGCAUGGCUGUCGUCAGCUCGUGUUGUGAAAUGUUGGGUUAAGUCCCGCAACGAGCGCAACCCUUAUCCUUGUUUGCCAGCGAGUAAUGUCGGGAACUCCAGGGAGACUGCCGGUGAUAAACCGGAGGAAGGUGGGGACGACGUCAAGUCAUCAUGGCCCUUACGAGUAGGGCUACACACGUGCUACAAUGGCGCAUACAGAGGGCGGCCAACUUGCGAGAGUGAGCGAAUCCCAAAAAGUGCGUCGUAGUCCGGAUCGGAGUCUGCAACUCGACUCCGUGAAGUCGGAAUCGCUAGUAAUCGUGGAUCAGAAUGCCACGGUGAAUACGUUCCCGGGCCUUGUACACACCGCCCGUCACACCAUGGGAGUGGGCUGCAAAAGAAGUAGGUAGUUUAACCUUCGGGAGGACGCUUACCACUUUGUGGUUCAUGACUGG